CAGCCGCCGCGGUAAUACGAAGGGUGCAAGCGUUAAUCGGAGUUACUGGGCGUAAAGCGUGCGUAGGCGGUUUGUUAAGUCUGCUGUGAAAUCCCCGGGCUCAACCUGGGAAUGGCAGUGGAUACUGGCAAGCUAGAGUGUGUCAGAGGAUGGUGGAAUUCCCGGUGUAGCGGUGAAAUGCGUAGAGAUCGGGAGGAACAUCAGUGGCGAAGGCGGCCAUCUGGGACAACACUGACGCUGAGGCACGAAAGCGUGGGGAGCAAACAGGAUUAGAUACCCGCGUAGUCCCUGUCUCUUAUAC
rnacentral:rRNA from 1 species